AGCUGUGUAACUGGGCACAUCACUCCAUCUUUGGAGCCUGUGUUUCCUCAUCAGAAAAUGGAGAAAUAGGGCUAGAAGAUAUGUGCAGACAUUUCAGUUUUCCAGCCAAACCCUUUAUUGUCACCUAAGGGAUAGUUCUCAGAGCAUGGCUGAGUCAGGGCACUUUUCAUUUUUCUUCAUGUUAGUUUCCCUGUGAUAAAAAUGAGAGAAUGGGACUAUAAAAGUGGUUCUUAACGAGCGAGACGUGUCAAAAUUACUUGGGAAACUUUUUAAAAACGUACAUACCCUUGUCCUACCCCAGACCUACUAAUUAAGUGGCACAGAUCUUAAUAAGCUUGGAUACCCAAAUACCCAAUUACAUAAGACCUAGAAAUGUCAUCUGCAGGGCCUGAGCCAAUGCUUGAUUACUCAAUAGGCAAUAAUCAUAUAUAUGGGUCACAUGCAAAGCAGGGGCAUGUCCCCCAAUGCUGGUUGUUCUCUGUCCUCUCACUACCCAGUUCCAUUCUCGGCUCUUCUCUACCCUACCCCUGGAAACUGACCUCUAUGAACUGUAUUUCCAGGUCUCACUUGCCCUCUGGCUUCUGACUGAGCCUGGCUCAUGAGAGUCAGAGGCAGAUCUGAAGGUGGAAGGAAAGUGUGGGUGGGGUUCCCCCUCACCAGCUUGCUGGGCUGAGCUGAAGUUCUGGCAAUGGCUGUGCUUCUCCAUGGCUACACCUCCAGGCUCCUGCGCUGGACCUCAGACUUAGGGAUGGCAACCUCUCCCUGCUGUUGCUGGUCUUUAGGCCAGCAGCAGGCAUUUGGGCACCAUGAAAAAUGAGGCACAGAGAGAGAGAGAGAGAGAGAGAGAGAGGCACUGGCCACGGCAGUGUGGAUGUCAUAGGAGCAGCUCUGGAGGGCAGCAGCACCACCGGGUUUCUCUUGGGCACAUGGUUUAAUCUUUCUGAGUCUCCAUUUCCUUUGGAGAAAUGAGUAGCUCCCUUAGAGAGUUUUUGUGGGAGUUUAAUGAGAAAAGUAAAUAAGGUACCUGAUCUGAAUAAGUGCUCAGUAUAUAGUGCUUACCCUCCUCUCGGGGGCGGGGUGGGGGCAUUUAUCUGCCCGCAGUGACUUAGGCAACAGUCUUUUCCGAAGAGAAGUGGGACUUCUCAACAUUCCCAAGCUUUGCAGUGCAUCAGAGUCACUUGGGAAGCUUAUUAAACAUACAGAUGACGGAACUUCACGCAGGAGUUCUGCCUCAGUAGCUUUGGGGUGGGGCUCCGGCAUCCGUGUUUUAAUGAGCUCCCCAAAGGAUUCAAAUGCACACUGAAGUUUGAGCACCUCUGUGCUGGAUACAAGCAUAGGAAUCAAUAAAUAGCCGCGGGGACUCGUGAUGAAAGAGGCACCAAAGAAAGGGUUAACUGAAGGGUAACUUACACUACCCUCAGCCGCAGCCGCAGAUGUCUGAGAAGGUUUCCCAGGGCUUGAAGACUAAGCCAGGUCUACCAGGCAGAAUAGUGGAUAUGUGCAAAGACAUAAAGGUGGGACAGAGUGUGACUAGGUACGUCUGGGGCAUAGGGUGCCAGGGCUGGUGGUGGGAAAUGACGCAGGAAGAGGUGUGUGUCUGGGCACUGGAUUGUGGCGGGCCUGCACUGCCAAGAAGUUUCAAAUCAUGAUCAAGUCCAGGGAGAGCCGUGAAGAUUUGCAGAUGGGGGUGAACAAACAGAUUUUCACUGUAGAAAGCUCAUUUUUUGAAAGCAACCAGUAUGGAGAGUGGGAUGGCACCGUCAAUACUGGGGGCAAAGAGAACAAUCAGGAAGCUGUCCUAGUAGCUCAGGAGAAAGUUGGGAAAGAUGUAAGUCGGAGUAGUGGCAGUAGAGGGUUGAGAGACGAUCGUUUUAAAUGUUUGUUUAUAUUUGAGAGAGGGAGGAGGGAGAGAGAGAAUGAGGGAGAGCCCACGUGCACAUGAGCGAGUGAGGGGCAGAGAGAGGGAGAGUCAGAGGAUCCAAAUCAGGCUCUGUGCUGAGAGCAGAGAGCCUGAUGACAGGCUCAGACUCAUGAACCAUGAGACCAUGACCUGAGCUGAAGUCAGAUGCUUAACCAACUGAGCCACCCAGGUGCCCCAUUGAGGAAUCUUAUAAGACUGUGGACAUAGACGCUUGGAGAUAAAGUGCUUAGCUGGCCUUACAUCUUGGAUAAUGAAAAGCAUGGGGAAUACUGAUGUAUCAGUUACCGUAAAGUUUCUGUUAAACCUAUAUUUAUUUAUAUCCUGUCAUUAUAAACUUGAGUUUUUUGUCUACUAUCAAAUGACUUCCUUAUAAUAGGACAGGUUGGUUUUAAUGGUUUCAAGGAUUGCUGACUAACAACCUUGAGACCAUAAAUAUAUUUAUAGGAAACUACUUUUGUUACAAUGUUUGUGCUGUGAAACUGGGUUAUUUACUCAAAGUUAUAUACUGUGUUUAUCCUAAGACUUUGAAUUCACCCCCCAACUUGUGAUAAUUAUCUCCCUAUGACUUCUCUACCUUAGGAUUCUGUAACUUUAUGAAUAAAGGUGACCGAACUUGUUUAUUAGCA